GCCCCCCUAGCUCAGUAGGUAGAGCGUUUCCAUGGUAAGGAAAAGGUCAACGGUUCGAUUCCGUUGGGGGGCU
rnacentral:tRNA from 1 species